GUCUCCGUAGUUCAAUGGAUAGAAUAUUGGAUUCCGGUUCCAACGAUUGGGGUUCGACUCCCCACGGGGAUA
rfam:Bacteroidales bacterium 52_46 Ley3_66761_scaffold_16, whole genome shotgun sequence.